UACGUAGGGUGCGAGCGUUGUCCGGAAUUAUUGGGCGUAAAGAGCUCGUAGGCGGUGUGUCACGUCGGCCGUGAAAACCUGCAGCUUAACUGUGGGCGUGCGGUCGAUACGGGCAUCACUGGAGUUCGGCAGGGGGAGACUGGAAUUCCUGGUGUAGCGGUGAAAUGCGCAGAUAUCAGGAGGAACACCGGUGGCGAAGGCGGGGUCUCUGGGCCGAUACUGACGUGGAGGAAGCGAAAGCGUGGGGGAGCAAACAGGA
rnacentral:rRNA from 1 species